AACGAACGCUGGCGGCAGGCCUAACACAUGCAAGUCGAACGCCGUAGCAAUACGGAGUGGCAGACGGGUGAGUAACGCGUGGGAACAUACCCCUCGGUUCGGAAUAACUUAGGGAAACUUGAGCUAAUACCGGAUACGUCCGAGGUUUUAACCGGCCUCGGAGAAAGAUUUAUCGCCGGAGGAUUGGCCCGCGUCUGAUUAGCUUGUUGGUGAGGUAAUGGCUCACCAAGGCGACGAUCAGUAGCGGUCUGAGAGGAUGAUCAGCCACAUUGGGACUGAGACACGGCCCAAACUCCUACGGGAGGCAGCAGUGGGGAAUAUUGGACAAUGGGCGAAAGCCUGAUCCAGCCAUGCCGCGUGAGUGAUGAAGGCCUUAGGGUUGUAAAGCUCUUUCGCCCGUGACGAUGAUGACGGUAACGGAGAAGAAGCCCCGGCUAACUUCGUGCCAGCCGCCGCUGUAAC
rnacentral:rRNA from 1 species